AUUGAACGCUGGCGGCAGGCUUAACACAUGCAAGUCGAGCGAGCGGCGGACGGGUGAGUAAUGUCUGGGAAACUGCCUGAUGGAGGGGGCUAACUACUGGAAACGGUAGCUAAUACCGCAUACCAUCAGAUGUGCCCAGAUGGGAUUAGCUAGUAGGUGGGGUAAUGGCUCACCUAGGCGACGAUCUCUAGCUGGUCUGAGAGGAGUACCAGCCACACUGGGACUGAGACACGGCCCAGACUCCUACGGGAGGCAGCAGUGGGGAAUAUUGCGCAAUGGGGGCAACCCUGACGGAGCCAUGCCGCGUGAGUGAAGAAGGCCUUCGGGUUGUAAAGUUCUUUUGGUAGCGAGGCGUUAUCUACAGAAGAAGCAACGGCUAACUACGUGCCAGCAGCCGCGGUAAUAC
rnacentral:rRNA from 1 species